UGGUUCCAAGUAAGCAUCUCUUCCA
rnacentral:piRNA from 2 species